rnacentral:rRNA from 1 species
CUACGGGAUGCAGCAGUGGGGAAUAUUGGACAAUGGGGGAAACCCUGAUCCAGCAAUGCCGCGUGUGUGAAGAAGGCCUGCGGGUUGUAAAGCACUUUCGGUUGGGAGGACUGCUUCUAGCACUAAUAUUGUUGGAAGUUGACGUUACCUUCAGAAGAAGCACCGGCUAACUCCGUGCCAGCAGCCACGGUAAUAUGGAGGGUGCAAGCGUUAAUCGGAAUUACUGGGCGUAAAGCGCGCGUAGGCGGCUAGAUCAGUCGGGUGUGAAAGCCCCGGGCUUAACCUGGGAACUGCAUCCGAUACUGUCGAGCUUGAGUACAGGAGAGGAGAGUGGAAUUCCACAUGGAGCGGUGAAAUGCGCAGAUAUGUGGAGGAACACCAAUGGCGAAGGCAGCUCUCUGGCCUGAUACUGACGCUGAGGUGCGAAAGCGUGGGGAGCAAACAGGAUUAGAUACCCGCGUAGUC